rnacentral:lncRNA from 1 species
UUACUUAAGUACAAGAUUUAAUCCUACUCAUCCAUUUCCUUCUAAUCCACUGGUCAUCAUCCCUUCCUACCUCCAUAUAAAAUACCCAAUUAUAGAAACCAUAUCCGAUGUUUUCAAUGCCUAGACCUAACGCCUAAGACAGACCCGCGUUUUUUGACCUUAACAGAAGCCUCCCCCUGAACAUCUUCUUCUUCAUCUUACCCCUAUCUUUUCAUCUCCAGCAAAGAACCCACACACAACACCAACCAGUGACAACUCCAAAAAUCAGACCCCCCACCCAGUUCUUCUUCUUCAACAAGCAGAAGCCGUUUCUGGAAAAGGAAGGCAUUCUAACCUAGACUACACACAAUAUCAUCAACGGCUUUCCCUAUUCUCUAGAACAAAUCAACAGAAGACACAAAAAUCCUAGACCUAAAAACCUAAAAAAGCGAAAGGAGCUGCCAUAGGAAUGUAUGGAAUAUUUGUUAUUUCUGCUUGCACUUGACUUUUUCGACUCCAAAUCCUUUCCGUAAAAUGGAGAUAGGGACUUGUUGUCUUGCUUGAACGACCUCAUUUUUGGUAUUUUUGCUAGAUUUUUUCUUUGCAGUUGGAUUGCUGACUAAUCUGCUGCCACAACAGUCAAUUUGCACAAAUAUUCGAUUAUAUGACCCCUUGUAUUUCGCUGCUCUUUCCUCUCUUUACCAUAAUCUAUCGGAACACACACACAUAGUCACGCACACGAACAGAUUUUCGAAACAUGGAGUUUAAUUGAAGUCUGGAAUCAUUUCUAAGUUUGAGUCAUGUGGAGGUUGCCGUUGAAGGUUUAAGACCGAAAUUCCGGUUCGGUUUGUGCUGAUUUCGUUAGAAGCCGUGUCGAUGUCCGGUUGUAAUUGUUGCUUCAUUUCAGUCCGAGUAAUUGUCGCAACUCAAUUAAAUCGGUAAGUUUCUUCAGGUCUAUCUCUCACCUUGCUUGAUGCUUUGUUAGGAUGGUAUUGUUUUAGAGGCUAUAUAAAUAUUUGGAAUUUGUGGUUUGCGUUUUAUUUUGUGUCGAGCAUUCUACCAUGAUUUAACUUUAUUUUGAAUGCCUUCUAUUAAGUCAUUGAUCUUGUUUUGGUUGUGAUUAUUUAUUAGUUCCAUGAAUCUGAUCUUAGACAUUAGUUUGAUAUGAUAUUAGCGGAAGGAUUACAUUUGGGGUUUGGUUAAAACUGAAAAGGGAAUUGGGUUUUGAGUUGACUAUCGUUCUCUUAUUUUAAUUUUAAUUUUAUCGAUUUAAUCGCUAGGAGCAUGUUUAGGCUGCCGAAACGUGAGUAGGCAAGCUUUAGGCACAUAAUUAAAUCAUCACAACUACGGGUACGAUUCCCUUGGCGUAGCUACGAUACUUAAUUUCAAAUUAGUUUUAAAUAUGAGCAUCCUCAGCCUGUUUUUUAGUGAAAAUACAAUUUCUUUAAAUAAAUCNNNNNNNNNNNNNNNNNNNNNNNNNNNNNNNNNNNNNNNNNNNNNNNNNNNNNNNNNNNNNNNNNNNNNNNNNNNNNNNNNNNNNNNNNNNNNNNNNNNNNNNNNNNNNNNNNNNNNNNNNNNNNNNNNNNNNNNNNNNNNNNNNNNNNNNNNNNNNNNNNNNNNNNNNNNNNNNNNNNNNNNNNNNNNNNNNNNNNNNNNNNNNNNNNNNNNNNNNNNNNNNNNNNNNNNNNNNNNNNNNNNNNNNNNNNNNNNNNNNNNNNNNNNNNNNNNNNNNNNNNNNNNNNNNNNNNNNNNNNNNNNNNNNNNNNNNNNNNNNNNNNNNNNNNNNNNNNNNNNNNNNNNNNNNNNNNNNNNNNNNNNNNNNNNNNNNNNNNNNNNNNNNNNNNNNNNNNNNNNNNNNNNNNNNNNNNNNNNNNNNNNNNNNNNNNNNNNNNNNNNNNNNNNNNNNNNNNNNNNNNNNNNNNNNNNNNNNNNNNNNNNNNNNNNNNNNNNNNNNNNNNNNNNNNNNNNNNNNNNNNNNNNNNNNNNNNNNNNNNNNNNNNNNNNNNNNNNNNNNNNNNNNNNNNNNNNNNNNNNNNNNNNNNNNNNNNNNNNNNNNNNNNNNNNNNNNNNNNNNNNNNNNNNNNNNNNNNNNNNNNNNNNNNNNNNNNNNNNNNNNNNNNNNNNNNNNNNNNNNNNNNNNNNNNNNNNNNNNNNNNNNNNNNNNNNNNNNNNNNNNNNNNNNNNNNNNNNNNNNNNNNNNNNNNNNNNNNNNNNNNNNNNNNNNNNNNNNNNNNNNNNNNNNNNNNNNNNNNNNNNNNNNNNNNNNNNNNNNNNNNNNNNNNNNNNNNNNNNNNNUNNUUNUUACAUGUUUGGGCUUAAUGUGCUAAAUGUUGCUUUUUACCGCUUUGAUAUUAUUUGAACUGUAUAUAAACUAUUACGAAACCCUUCUCUUCUGGUCUUCGGGGAUGUGCACGCUGGCGUGACUCCUCUUCUGUUAGUGUCAUACCUUAAAGUAGAAAGAGGCUCAGACAAUUUACAAAGCCGGAUGGCUUUUUGGUUCCCGGUACGUAGCCCCCCUUGGCUCGAGUUGUCCGCUCGGGUACACCAAGUCUAUAACAAUAUACCCAGGUUUUAAACCUAGAAUAACUCAGCCUCAUGCUGGAUCCCUAGUGGAAACGUUUGUUUUCAUCAUGUUCAUUUGACUUUGGAGACUCAACACAAGGGUUGGGUCCGUCCAUGACAGAUGGACCCCAGAAUCAAAAGACCAUCCUGAUGCAUAUUUUACGUGUUACUUGUACAACUAUUUGCUUCGGUUUGCAUGUUGACCGGUUGCUAGAAUAGGGAGGAAAUUAGGAAAAAUAAAAUUGAGGUAUGAGAGAGAUAAUUACCCACCUUUGGAAAAUCCGUUGUCCAAAAUAUACCAAAACUCUGCCAAAAUUUUGAAAAACAAAGAGAGAGAAAAGAGAAAAAAGGAAGAUAAAAUGGUUUCAAAAUACUUCAUGUUUUCUUUUAUGUCAAAACCGACCGAACUACGCGGGUCUAAUUCUCACCGGAUGUGAGAUACGUAGGCAAACUUCAUCGGUUCCGACUCUAAUUUUUAACAAAAUCCAAAAAUAUUUUCCUUUAAUUACUUCAUUAGAAGCAUUUCUUUAGAAAAUUCAAAAAAAAAAUUAAACUCAAAAAAUAAUUUCCUUUUUUCUAAAGUCUUUCAUACGAAAAAAAGAAGAAAUAAAACGAAAAAUAAAUAAAAGAAUCAAAAUCCAAAAUACGGGUUUCCUUCAUUUUGAAGUAUUUUUCCCAAGAUAAAAAAUCCAAAAAAGCAAAAUCAGAAACAAAAAUCCAAAAAUAUUCUUUUCUUCUUUAGAAGUNNNNNNNNNNNNNNNNNNNNNNNNNCCAAAGACACAGGUGGUCUCCGCAAGCAAUCUACAGAUCAUCGAUCCUGAGGAUAGCGCAGCACCGACUAUUCCACAACUAGAAUCAGUAGCUGCUGAAGAGCAUAGGAUGUCGCGUCUCUGCAUAUUAGAAAUGUGAGAUGCGUGGUCUAAUGGUAGGGAACCUCCGAGUGCAAUCCCUGGGUUCCCUGAGUUGAUCCCUAGGUCAGGUGAGGUUACCAACGCCCCUGUGCCCAACCCACUCAUCCCAUGCGGGCACCCUCUAAUGCCAUCCAAUGUUCCUAGCAUGCCUUUUGUGGUUUGCCCCCAGGCGUCAGUUUCCUGGGCACCUCCAACAUUUUUCUCUGCAGAACCAGUCUGCACCAGAGCACAACCAACUUUACCACGACCGUAUAUUGAGCCUCCAAUGUUCACCUUUCAGGGUCCACAGCUACAAUCAGAAAUAACACAUGUAACCCCGUACUCUUUCACUCAAUCUCCGCAAUAUGAUCUCUCGGUGGAGCAAUAAAAGGUUGUUAAAAAUCCCGAGCAAGAGGAAAUGGCUCGGAAGAUGAAGAGCCUGGAACAAAGCUUGAAAAACAUGCAAAGUCUGAGUGGCCAAAAGAGUGUCUCAUACUCUGACCUCUGUAUGUUUCCCCAUGUCCAAAUUCCAGUUGGCUUCAAGAUGCCAAAAUUUGAAAAGUACGAUGGGUAUGGAGACCCGGUCGCUCACCUGAAAUGAUAUUAUAACCAGUUGAGAGGUGCUGGUGGAAAAGAGGAGUUGCUAAUGGCCUAUUUUGGGGAAAGCCUCACCGGAAUCGCUUCUGAGUGGUAUACGGAUCAAGAAAUUACUCAUUUGAACGUGUGGGACGAUAUGGCCCGAGAUUUUGUCCACCAAUUCUAGUAUAAUGUGGACAUCGCUCCCAACAGAAACUCUUUGUCCAAUUUGAAAAAGAAAACCACGGAAAGCUUCCGCGAAUAUGCUGUCAAAUGGCGUGAGCAAGCUACUAGGGUAAAACCUCCAAUGGAUGAAAUUGAAAUGGUCACUGUCUUUCCACAGGUCCAAGAGGAUGACUACUUCCAAAAUAUGAUGUCCGCUAUGGGAAAGCCGUUUGCUGAGGCUAUCAAAAUUGGGGAGAUGGUAGAAAGUGGGCUAAAAAUGGGUCGAAUCUUGAGUCAUGCUGCUUUUAAGGCCACAUCACAGGCUGCUCAGAAUGGUUCGGAGGGUUUGAUGAACAACAAUGGAAGUAAAGAGGGAGCCACGAUAGCUUCAAGCUCGAGGGGUCCCCGCAGGUCAUUCAACCAAUCAUAUGUGCCUCCUAUGGUCCCACCACACUAUUAUCCCCUUCAAGCUGCUACUUAUGUUGUGGCACUGUCUCCCUAUGUGGUGAUGAAGGCGCAACCUUACCCGCGACCACAGCAUUAUACACAAAAAUCGAGCUCCACCUCCCAUAAGUGUCCAUCCUUACCAAGCUUCAUAUAAUCCCCAACCAAUUAUUCCCCAAUACUAUCCUCGCCCAAGAGAGACUUUCAGAAAGAAGCAGUUCACCCCUAUUGGUGAAUCGCAUUCAAGCUUGUUCCAAAAGUUAAUCAGGCUAAAUCUAUUGCAGCCAGUGGCCCCGAAUCGGCCAAACCCUGAGUUCCCCUCGCAUCGAGCUGAUGCUAGAUGUGAAUACCACUCUGGAGCAGUGGGACACAGUACGGAGGACUGUUGGACCCUUAAAACGGUAGUUGAAGCUGAAAGAAUUAUUUUUUGGGAUGAAGAAGCUCUUAAUGUGAUGAACAAUUUGUUGCCUGCCCACAACUCCGAGCCAAUAAUCAGAAUGAUUUGUCGAAAAUGAGGAAUUUGAUUUGGCACUGAAGGCCAUUGCAUCCAUUGCCGAGAUAGAAGAAAAGCCAAAAAAUAGUUGUUAAGCCUAAAAUUCUUCAUUAGACGAGAGUCUCGGUAGCCAGCCUUGCUAUCCUUUCUGAAUCCGGAUUAUCUCAGGGUGUGAUCCGGAUGUUUUACUUUAUUGUCUUAUUUUUCAAUGUUAACCUUUUUAUCUUCUAAAAUUCAAAAAAAAAUCAUGUGACUUUUCUUAUUUUCUUUUCAGUUCUGUUAAAUGCAGAUUUCAAUAAUAUGACAUGCUUGCGGACUUUAUGCCCAGAUCCUAAAACGUUGUCAGACUUCGAAAUAAUGAGUCAAGAAUCAGGAUGCAAUGAAGAUAAGUUUAAGGAAAUAAAACAAAGAAUCAGAACAACUAAGGAAAAUUGGCUCCAGAUUGGAAAGGUCCAUACAUUGUAACAAGAGUAGUGCCAAAAGAGAGCGUCGUACAUGGGAAACGUUGAAGGAAAUGUUCCUGAAACAACUCUCAAUGCAGGUGUAGUCAAAAGGUACUAUAUUAGAUCCUCUAUAUAACAUUAAUGUUUUUCGGUUGGUAUGAAGAAGGCUUUAUUUCUUAGUAUCCAAAUAUUCAACCCUUUGCAAACCUUUUGAGCCGGUUACUCUUCUUUGAUUACCCUCUUUGGAACCUGAAAGUGUUAUUGAAAAUAAAUUGAUUAAAAAAAUGAAAUUAAAAAUGAAUUAAAAAUAAAAUUGAAAAAUAGAAGAAAAUAAAGAUGCAAAAGGUGGGGGGGGGGGGGAAGACAAAGAAAUUAAAAAAAUGAAAAAAAGAGAGGAAAAAGGAAAGGAAAAAGAACGAGAAAACAAAACAGCAGAAAAACAAAAGAAAAUCAAAAACAAAGUUCCUGAACUACGUUCAACUUGAUUCUGAAAGGAUACGUAGGCAGCCUCUUUCUGUGGUUCAGUCACACAAAAACAAAAAUCCACAUUUCCCCUAAAGUUGAAACUGGGGCAAAAGUUACAAUGGUUCUACGAUGAUCCCGCCUGAAUGGUUCCAAAGUUGUAAUUCAAUCCAAAUCAUUUUUACCUGAAUCCCUUCAAGUCCUUCCGAUCAAUCGGUGAGAAUGUUCAAGGAUCAGAGAAUACAGCUACUUGGAUCUAAUGCAAUCAAAAAUAGAGAAAUAAAAUGAGAGAGUAUUAUUGGUGAAAACCCACACGGGCACCGAAAGGCGAUGGUAAGCAGAGAAAUUGAAAUUGAGAGAGUCUUAUUAGUGAAAACUCGCAAGAGCACUACAAGGCGAUGGUGAGAAGAGAAAAGAGAGAGGUCAGCUCGUGAAAACCCGCUAAGGGCACCACUGAUCGAAAAGAGGAUCUUUAGUCACUGACAUUGACGCAGUCCUAGGCAAGGUUUCUCGUUUUCGAGGAAAAACUGUGAUGAAUUUCUGAGAGUCGGAUGGUUUACACAGAUCAGACAUCCAAUCCAAAAGGCAUGUCAUGUUCAUUGGAGUCUGCAUGUACUCCAGAUAAGUCCUUCUUUCCUUUCCCCAAAAGGGAGACUUCUUGUUUUAAACUCAUUCUCCAUUCCAUUGUUUGUUUUCUUUGAAUCUCUUUCGGUCUAAUUCUAUUCUGAAACUAAAACAAAGAAAGGUUGGUAAGAUUGAUUUACAGGGCUUUCGUUUGAUACAAGCUAAUGUGCAAAAAGGCACUCAGCCUUGUCAGGGGCAUCAAGUCGACCUCGACUGGCCAUGGUGGCCGAUGCUUCGAAAUCAAAACUUUUGAAAGGAGAAAAUCAAAUAGAAGUGCCUACAGUGCCCACAUGUCUUAACUGUCUCAGCAAAAGUGUGAAAAGCCAAUGCACCCAAAUGCCUGAAAUUGAAUUUGGAAGAAAGAAUCCAAAAAUGAAAGGUCUAUGAAAGUGAAAUAAAGUUGAAAAAGGUCAGUCCCACGUGACUAGCCGUUGCGACAAAGUCUGAGGAGCCAAAAAUUCCCCAAUGCACUGAUGUUUUUUGUUUUAAAAAAAAAAAGAGAAUAAAAAAGAAAGAAAAAAAGAAGAAGAAAGAAAAACAACAAGUCAAAAUGGAAAGGCCCACAGAGGCAAAAUAAAGUCAAAAGGGUGAGUCCCACCGACCAAUCCUCAUGGCAAAGUCUGGAAAAGCCAGAGUUUUCUUCAGGGUCAGAAAUGCAAUCGGUAUUCAAGAAACAACCAGUUGCAGAUGAAAGAGGCCGAGAUCAAGUGGUUGAAAUAAUCAAGGCCACAAAACCAACCACCGUUUCAAACUGACAAUUUUUCUUUGUUGAAAAAACAAAAAAGAAAACAGGUGCAAUCCAGAAGCAACCUUACAAGAAGUAGGUGCUGCCAAGAAAAAACUGCUCAAGGUCUAGAAAUAGCGUUGCAGCAACAACCCAAAAAGGGGAAGUCCCAAUUUUUUUUUUUUGCAUUUACUCAUUCUAUGAAAUAAUGAAAAAAAAAAGAGAAAAGAAAAAAGAUGAAAAUGAAAAAAAAAGAAAAAUUCAAAAUUGGUAGUAUAGGGUUUCCAAUCCCUAGCUGCGUUUUUUCCAACAUAGGAUCCCACUCUUUAGUCGAUGCCAGCAUAACCUGGUAAUCUUUCCAAUAUAGGAAAGAGACCUAAUUUCAAAUUAGUUUUAAAUAUGAGCAUCCUCAGCCUGCUUUUUAGUGAAAAUACAAUUUCUUUAAAUAAAUCGAGGCAUGCCAUUCACAAUUGAAUCACCUAAUCUAUGGCCCUCACAUUAAUAUUAUAACUUACUGUAGAAAAUAUUUUGAACAUUUGUAAUUUUCUUUAGGCGCGUUCAUAAUAAGAUCAUCAUAACUACGGGUACGGUUCCCAUGAUGUAGUUGUGAUACUUAAUUUCCAAAUCUAGGGGUACAUUUAUGUGACCCGGCCACAACUUCUAAUAACUUUAAUAAUUUAAAUAUGUUGCAGAUCGUGGGUACGAUUCCCGUGACGUGAUUUGCAAUGUGUAUCAAAUUAACAUGUGUAUGACAAUCGUAACUUAUUUCAUAAUAAUUCCAUAAAAAUAAUUCAAAGAGGUUAUAAAGUUAAAAAUGUACAAUAGGUUUAAAAUGUGUAGUAAAUCAGAUAAUAGGCCAAUUAUUAAUAGUUUAAGCGACCGUGCUAGAACCACGGAACUCGGGAAUGCCUAACACCUUCUCCCGGGUUAACAGAAUUCCUUAUCUAGAAUUUCUAGUUUCGCAGACUUUUAAAUAAAGUCGAUUUUCCUCAAUUUGGGAUUUUAAAAUAAAUCGGUGACUUGGGACACCAAAUAACUAUUUCAAGUGGCGACUCUGAAAAAUUAAAUAAAAUAAUAUCACUUCGAUUAAUGUCACUUUAAUUGGAAAAACUCCCUUAUAUCCCCUCUCGGGUGGUAAAAAGAGGUGUGACAACAUUUUAGGGUCAUAAAACUGAAAUUUCGCCCGAUUUCCUGAUUUUCGUGUGCUAUAGCCCACAACUUCUGCAUGCGCCCGGGCACCCAAUUUCGGAUCACCUAAAAUACUUCCAGGCCAUCAAAAAUGUCUUAAGGAACAAUAUUCACCGCCCCUCCAUGACUGUUUCUCAUUUGUUGGCAUUUUAGGACCAUAAAUCUAGUAUUCUGCCCGAUUCUCUAAUUUUCGUGUGCUAUAGCUCAUGCCUUACGUAUGCGCCUAGGCACCCAGACCCGAAUUCCCUGAAAUACUUCAUGGUCAUCACCAACGAACUAAGGAACAAUAGUCACCGCCCCCCAUGACCGUUCCUCGUUUUUUGGCAUUUAGGGCCAUAAAAUUGGUAAUCCGCACGAUUCCGAAAUACUCGUGUUCUAUGCCCCCACGCCUUCCGCAUAGACCUGGGCACCCGGACCUGGAUCGCCUAAAAUAUUUCCUUUCCAUAAAAAAUGACCUAAGAAACAAAAGUCACCGUUUCGCCAUGACCAUUCCUCGAUCUCUGGCUAAGCUGGAAUUUCGCACGAUUUUCAGAUUCUCGUGUUCUAUAGACCACGCCUUCCACAUGGUCUCGGGCCCUCGGAUCUGGAUCGCAAUAAAAUUUUGUUCCAUGACCGUUCCUUAAUUUUUGGUAUUUUAGGGCCAUAAAUUUGUCAUUCGACCAGAUUCCUAAAUGUUCGUGUACUAUAGCCCAUGCCUUCCGCAUAGGCUUGGGCCCCCAGACCCGGAUCACUUAAAAACUUUUGGAGCCAUAAAAAUGACCUAAGGAAUAAUAGUCAUCACCGCGCCAUGACUGUUCCUCAAUUUUUGGUAUUUUAGGGCCAUAAAACUGGAAUUCUGUCCGAUUCCCUCAUUUUUCCCGUGCUAUAGCCCAAGCCUUCUGCAUGGGCCCGGGCCCCCAGACCCGAAUCGUCUAAAAAUUUUCUAGGCCAUCAAAAUUGACUUAAGGAACAAUAGUCACGGCCCCGCUAUGACUGUUCCUCGUUUUUUGGCGUUUAAAAGCCAUAAAACUUGAAUUAUGCACGAUUCCUAGAUUUUCAUAUGUUAUACCACACGCCUUUCGCAUGGGCCCGGUCCCGUGGACCCCGAUUGCCUUAAAUUUUUUCGGGCCAUCAAAAAGGACCAAAGGAGCAGUAGUUACCACCCCGCUAUGAACUUUCCUCGUUUUUGGCAUAUUAAGGCCAAAAAACUAAAAUUCUGCUCGAUUUCAUAAUUUUCGUAAGUUAUAACCCAUGUCUUCCGCAUGGGCCCGGAUCCCUGGACCCUGAUCUCCUAAACUUUUUCCAAGCAAUCAAAAAUGACCUAAGAAACUAUAGUCACCACCCUUCCAUGGUCGUUCCUCAUUUUUUGGCAUUUCAGGGGCAUAAAACUUGAAUUCUGCUUAUCCUUAAUUUUCCUGUACUAUAGCCCACGCCUUCCACAUGGGCCCGGGCCCCUAGACCUGGAACGUCUAAAAUAUUUCUAGCCUAUAAAAAUGACCUAAGUAACUAUAGUCAAUGCCCUACCAUGAUCGUUCUUCAUGUUUUGGUAUUUUAAUGCUAUAAAACUAGAAUUCCACCCAUUUUCCGUAUUUUCAUAAGCUAUACACAUGGCUUCCGCAUGGUCCCGGGCCCCAGGACUCAGAUUGCCUAAACUUCUUCCAGGCCAUGAAAUAUUACCUAAGGAACAAUAGUCACCAUCCCGUCAUAGUCGUUCCUCAUUUUUUGGCAUUUUAGGGUCACAAAACUGGAAUUCCACCUCUUUCCUGAUUUCUAUAAGCUAUAACACACACCUUCCGCAUAGGCCCAUGCCCUCGGAACCGGAUCGCCUAAACUUUUUUCAGACCAUCAAAAACGACCUAAGAAAUAAUAGUCAGCGCUCCGCUAUGGCCGUUCCUCAAUUUUUGGCGUUUUAGGGUUGUAAAACUGAAAAUACGCCCAUUCCCUGAUUUUUGUGUGCUAUAGCCCACGCCUUUUUCAUGGGACCGGAGCCCCGGACCGGGAUCGCCUAAAAUUUUUCGAGCCAUUAAUAAAGACCUAAGGAACAAUAGUUAUUGUCGCACCAUGACCAUUCUUCUUUUUUGGCGUUUUAGGGCCAUAAAAUUGGAAUUCUGCCAGAUUUUCUAAUUUUUGUGUGCUAUGGCCCAUGGCAUCUGCAUGGGCCCAAGACCCCAGACCCGGAUCGGCUAAAAUUUUUCCAUGCCAUCAAAAAUGACCUAUGGAACAAUAUCACCGUCCCACUAUGAUUGUUCCUCGUUUUUGGCAUUUUAGAGCCAUAAAACUAGAAUUCCCCCCGAUUUUCUGAUUUUUGUGUGCUAUAGCCCACAUCUUCCGUAAGGGCUUGGGCACCCAGACCCGGAUCGCCUAAAAAAUUUUCGGGCCAUUAAAAAUAACCUGAGGAACAAUAAUCACCGGCGCAAUGACUGUUUGUCAUGUUUUGGCAUUUCAAGCAAGGCCAUAAAAUUAGAAUUCCGCUCGAUUCCCUAAUUUUUCGUGUGUUAUCGCCCACGCUUCGCAUGGGCUCGGGGUCUCCGGACCCGGAUUGCAUAAACUUUUUCUAAGCAAUCAAAGAAGACCUAAGGAAUCACAUCUCCGCCAUGACCAUUCCUCGUUUUUAGUGUUUUAGGGCAAUAAAAUUGGAAUUUCGCCCGAUUCCGUAAUUUACAUGUGCUCUAACCCACGCCUCCUGGAUGGGCCCGAGCCCCUAGACCCUGAUCGCCUAAAAUUUUUCGGAACAUAAAAAUGACUUAAGAAAUAAUAAUCAUCGCUCUGCCAUGGCGGUUCCUCAUUUUUCAUGUUUUAGGGCCAUAAAACUGAAAUUCCGUCCAAUUUCAGGAUUUUCGUGUAUUAUUGCCCACGCCUACAGCAUGGACCUGGGACCCUGGAUCCGAAUUGCAUAAAAUUAUUCCGGGCCACAAAAAAGGACUUAAGGAACAAUAGUCACCGCCCCGCCUUUAUCAUUCCUCGUUUUUUGGUGUUUUAGGGACAUAAAACUGGAAUUCCACCCUUUUUCCUGAUUUUUAUAUGUUAUAGCCCAUGCCUUCCGCAUAGGCUUGGGUCCUGGAUCCAGAUUGCCUAAAAGUUUUUGGGACAUCAAAAACGACUUAAGGAAUAAUAGACAACACCCCGCCAUGAUCGUUCCUCGAUUUUUUGCAUAUUAGGGCCAUAAAACUAGAAUCCCGCAUAAUUUCCUGAUUUUUGUAUUUUGUAGCCCGCGCCUUUCACGUGGGCCCCGUCCCCUGAACCCGGAUAGUCUAAAAUAUUUUUUGGGCUAUCAAAAAUGGUCUAAGGAACAAUAGUCAUUGCGCCGCCAUGACCGUUCCCCAUUUUUUGGUGUUUUACGACCAUAAAACUUAAAUUCCGCCUGAUUCCCAGAUUCUUUUAUUCUAUAGCCCACACUGUCCGCAUGGAUUCGAGCUCCCAGACCCAAAUUGCCUAAAAAAAAUUUGGACCAUUAAAAAUGACCUAAUGAACAAUAGUCACCGCCUCGUCGUGAUCGUCUUUAUUUUUUGGCUUUUUACUGCCAUAAAACUGGAAUUUUGUCAAAAUCUCUUAUUUACGUGUGCAAUAGCACACACCUUCCUCAUUGGCCUAUGCCUCUGGACCUGGAUCGCCUAAAACAAUUUUAGGACCAUCAAAAAUAACCUAAGGAACAAUAUUCACCGCCCCGCCAUGACUAUUUUUGGCAUUUUAGGACCAUAAAAUUGGAAUUCGCUUGAUUCCUUGAUUUUUGUAUGUUAUAGCCCACGCCAUCCGCAUGGACGUCGGCCCCAGACACGAAUCACCUAAAUUUUUUUCGGGCCAUCAAAAAUGAUUUAAGGAAUAAUAGUCACCGCCCCGCCAUGACCGUUCCUCGCUUUCAGUGUGUUAGGGCCAUAAAACUUGAAUUCUGCCCGAUUUCUAGAUUUCGUGUGUUAUAGCCCAUGCCUUCUGCAUGGACCUAGGCCACCGGACCCGGAUCGCCUAAAAUUUUUCUUGAUUGUUAAAAAUGACCUAAGGAAUAAUAUUCACCGACUACCCAUGACCGUUCCUCCUUUUUGGCGUUUUAGGGCCAUAAAACUGAAAUUUUGCCCGAUUUAAAGAUUUUUUUGUGUUAUGUCCAUGCCUUUCGCAUGGGCUUGGGCCUCCGGACCCGGAUCGCCUAAAAGUUUCCUGGACCAUCAACAAUGACCUAAGAAACAAUAGUCACCGAGUGGCCAUGAAAGUUCCUUGUUUUUUGGCAUUUUAGGGUCAUAAAACUGAAAUUCCGCCAGAUUCUCAGAUUUUUGUGUUCUAUUUUCUACGCCUUCCGCAUGGGCUCGGGCCCUGCCUCAAAUUUUUUCGGGCCAUAAAAAAUGACCUAAGGUAAAAUAUUCACCGUCUCUCUAUAACCUUUCCUCAAUUUUUUGCGUUUUAGAGCCAUAAAACUGAAAUUCUACCCGAUUUUCAUAUUUUCGUGUGAUAUAGGCCACGCCCUCCGUAUGGGCCCGGCCCUCCGGACCGGGUUCGCCUAAGAUUUUUUCGGGCCAUAAAAAACGAUCUAAAGAACAAUAGUCACCGACUCGCCAUGACCGAUCUUUAUUUUUGGCAUUUAGGGCCAUAAAACUGCAAUUUCGCUUGAUUCCCAGAUUUUCGUGUGCUAUAGCCCACCCUUUCCGCAUGGGCAUGGGCCACCGAACCUGGAUCGUGUAAAACUUUCUCGGGCAAUCAAAAAUGAGCUAAGGAACAAUAAUCACCAACUCGCCAUGACCGGUUUUUGUUUUUUAGCUUUUAGGGCCAUAAAGUCGGAAUUGCGCCUGAUUUCCAAAUAUUCAUGUGCUAUAGCCCACGCCUUCCGCAUGGGCCCAGGCCCCCAAAUCAGGUUGGCCUAAAAUUUUCUCGAGCUAUCCAAAACGACCUAUAGAACAAUAGUCAUUGACUCUCCAUGAACAUUUCUCGUGCUUUGGCGUUUUAGGGCCAUAAAACAUGAAUUCCGCCCAAUUUUCAGAUUUUUGUGUGCUAUAGCUCACGCUUCCGCAUGGGCCUGGGCCCCUGGAUCGCCUAAAAUUUUCUCGGGCCAUCAAAAAAACCUACCAAAGUAUAGUCACCGACACGCCAUGAUCGUUCUUCAUUUUUUAGCAUUUUAGGUCUAGAAAACUAGAAUUUUGCGCGAUUCCUUUAUUUUCGUAUGCUAUAGCACACGCCUUCUGAAUGGGCCUGGCACCCAGACCCGGAUCGCCUAAAAUUUUCCCAGGAUAUCAAAAAUGAUCUACGGAAUAAUAGUCACCGACUCGCCGUGACCAUUCCUUAUUUUUGACAUUUUAGGGCCAUAAAAUUGGAAUUUUGCCUAAUUCCCAUAUUUUUGUGUGCGCCCACAUCUUCCGCAUGGGCCCGGGCUCCUAGACCUGGUCGCCUAAAAUUUUACCGGGCCAUCAAAAACGACCUAAGUAACAAUAGUAACUGAUUCUCCAUGAGUGUUUCUUAUUUUUUGGCAUUUUAAGUCAAUAUAACUGGAAUUCUACCUGAUUCCCAGAUUUUUGUGUGAUAUAGCUCACGCGUUUUGCAUGGGCUGGGCCCUUAGACCUGUGUUCCACGGCAUGUUUUCGUAGUUAAUAGUACGUCGUAAGUCAACUAAUGUAAGCUCGAAAAUGAGAUUAUAUUUGAAAGUAUAUAAAGUAAGUUAAUCAUGUUAUUUUCGAGGUUAUAAAUACUUAAGAUCAUGAAUAAGAAGUACCAAGAGGGUUGGAAGGCUUAGAAGCUAAAUGAAUUGAAGAAAAUUAGUUCGUCCAAAGUUGACAAGUUGGAAAUGUUAUAACAUGUACUUUUGGAGUGAACCUAGGGUGCUUAACAUGAUAAGGAGGUUAUGUUAUGAGUUAUUUCAGUCGUAUGAUAGUCGUGUGUUACGUUUUAAAGUUAAUGAGAUGUGGAACAAAAGUUGGCAAAGGUCAUCACAAGCCACAUUCAUAAUGUGCUAAAAAUUAGGUCAAAUGUAGCUGAGCAUUUCUCCCAAUAUACUUAAAAUUAUGGGAUGAUCCAUCUAUCAAAUUAAAGAUCUACGAGUCUAGUUUCUUACUCAUUAAACUGUUUGUCAAUAUGACAUAGGAGUAGAGAUGUAUUCACAUUUUUGCGAGACUGCACAAACAGCUCCUAUUGGGACCCACUUAGGCGGUGGAUGAUUUUUCAAUCUUUAAAGAUCGGGGUGAGGCUCAUUUAGGUUCAUUUUUCGAUCCAACCAAAUCCUAUACUCUCCCAAAACACUCUCAAAGCAUUCUCCAUGAUUCUAGAGUGAAAACCAAAGAUAAAAACAUGAAUCAAACGCUAGAAAUCCUGUCAUGUUAGUGAGUUUAUGUUCGUCUUGUGAUUGCUGAUUUUCGUGUAGUUAUAGCUCAUGUGGGGGGUUGUUUUAUGGAAAAUACUCUCCUGAGGGUUUCAUAUCAACCCUAAGUGAUUUCAAGUAUUUCAAAGUGAUUAUAGUGCCGAGAAACCUGAAGUGCUUGCUAGUUUCUCUACCUUGUUCUUGUGGUUUCAUUGGAAAGAUACUUUAUGGUGAAGUAAUCUCAAAUUCGAGUUGUUCCAUCUAUUUGAAGGUAAAGAACCUCUUACUCUACAUGUAUUUGAAUUUAUCCAAGUUACAGUGCUAAGUCGUUAAAGCUAGAACUUGUGAGAUAUCGAUCGAAAGGAGGUCUGGUUUGGUUGAGCAUCCCAUUUACUCUCCUGCUUCUUAUAGUAUAAAUGAACCCACUGCACCCACAUUUUAUCUUUCUUCUUAAAAAGAUUGCACAGGAUUUUGCAUAUAACAAUUUUAUUCCAUGUGUUCACAUCAAGAAAAUUUAAUCCACCUACUGAUCUGGGACAACACAACUUGUCCCCUGCAAUCAAUGCUUUCCUAGAGACUUGUACACCCCUUGUCCAUGAAAAUCUUCUAUAAGCAGUUUCAAUUAGUGUAAUAAAUUUCUUUGUUAUCACAAAUAUCUGCGACCAGAAGACUUGUAUGGAAAAUAAUACACUUUUAACUAAUUGAGCUCUACCGGCAUAGGACAAGAACCUUGAGGUCCAUGACUGUAUUCCUAAUAUCUUCUCAAUCAGGGGUUAACAUUGCAUCAGUGAAAUUCUUUUAGUACUAAGAGGUAGUCCCGGAUACAUAACUGGUAGUGAGCCUUUAGAGAAUCCAAGUUCAUCUAGUGUUUCUUGCUAAAUGUCAAUGUGUACUCCCCCAAAAGAAUAUAGAACUUUUAUCAGCAUUUGCUACCAAUCCUGAAGCUCGAGAGAUUUCUUAAAAACAUGCAAAUAUCAGUUGUACAGAGACUACAUCACCCUUACAAAAUAAUAGGAGAUCAUCAGCAAUACUCAAUUGUAUAAUAUUCAUUCUGGCACAUUUAGGGUAGCAGUUGAAGUCUGAAUUCCUCCUUACAGUCUUCAGUAAUCUAGUGAGAUACUCUAUGGCUAAGACAAAUAAAAAUGGGGAUGGAGAACUGCAAGGCCAAUAACCAUUUAGAUUGGCUUGUUUUACAUGCUUUUAAGUCAAAAUAGCUUUUAAGUCAUUUUGCAGUAUUUGGAUAAAGUAAAAAAGUGCUUUUAAGCACUUGUUUUUAAGCUAAAAUGACAAAAACAAGCCAAAAGCAAAAAACUAGAAUUCCUAACUUAUGGCUUAAAAGCUCUUUUGGCUUAAAAGUAACUUAAAACAAGCCCAUCCAAACAGGCUCAAGAUCUGCUCCAAAUAACUCCAUUUUAAAGAGUCAUAUGCCUUCUUUAUAUUUACUUUCAACAUGCAUCCAGGAGACAAGCCUUUCCUACCAUAUCCUUUGACCAAUUUAUGGCUAAGGGUAAUGUUAUCAUUUAUAAGCCUUCCAGGGACAAAUGCAGAUUGAUUUUUAUCCACUAACUAAUCCAUAACCUUUUGCAACCUAUUUGUUAGCACCUUUGAGAUCAUCUUGUAUAUUAUUGUGCCACAUGUGAUAAGGUUUAUAUUCAGUAAUCUUGGAAGGGUUAGCCACCUUAGGGAUGAGCGUAACUUUUGUACAAUUAAAAGGUUGGUACACAUCAGCAGGUGUGAAGAACUCCAAUAUUGUAGCUGUAACUCUUGUGCCAAUUACAGUCCAAGAUCUUUUAAAGAAGAGAGCAUUAAAACCAUCACAACCCGUAGCUUUGAGAUCACUGGUGUCCUUUAGAUCUUGAUAUAUUUCCUCUCUAGUGAUAGUGAUACCAACUGAAGUUGUUGUCCUCUGUCUAAUAGUGGUCCAUCCUUCAGAAUUGUUGGAUUAAUUGCAGGCAAUUGACUAGUUGUUGAACCUAAUAGUUGCCUACAGAAGCCUACCUCAUCUAUAAUUCCUGACUUUCUUUGCACCAAGUCCUCUAUAGCAGCAACAAUCCUUCUGAUCUUAUUCUGAGCAUAUCUAUUUUUCAUGCUAGCAGAGAAAAUAAGUUGUAUUUGCAUUUCCUAAAUUCAACUAUUGUACUCUGGACUUUUGCUUCAUGAUGCUCAUAAAGACUUUUGCUUCACGGCAUUAUAUUAAUUAUUACUAGCUGUUAUUUGUGGCUUGAAUUAUUUCCUUGUACUUUUAGGAAACCCAUAGUCCCUAUAGGUUUAGGAAAACUCAUUGUCCUAAUAGAUUUGGGAAAGGAAAACCUAUAGUCCUUGUCAAAUUGGGAAACCUUUCUCAUAUAUGUUUGAGACCUUUUGGGAUCUAUAUAUAGGGGUGCUAGUUGGAGAUUCUAUAGAUUGUAUUGUGUUUUUCUUCUCAUUUAUAGUGAAAAACUUUCUCUUCUUUUGCCCCGAGGAUUAGGCUUAGCCGAACCUCGUUAAAUCCUUGUGUUGAUUUUUCUUCUCUAUUUGCUUUGUGUGAUAUUCCGCAACAAUAGUAUUAUAUUACAACCUCUUCAUUAUCAAGCACGACAUAAAUAAUCACUGCCUAACUUACUUGUAUACAAAACGAUCCCUAAAUUAUACCUUGUGAGCAUUAUGAAAACUAAUUAAUGGUUAUUGAAUUCUGUUACCCUCUAGCCAGUAUUAUAAGCAAUUUCAGGAUUGUAGUUUUGGGUGAUUACCCCAUAUUCAUCAUGAAAUAUUAAUAUUAAUAUAUAAUUUAUAGUGAUAUUAAUUAAUAUGAAAUAAACAUAAUCCCAAAUUCUUACUAGUCCCGAUAACUAAGCGACCCAUAAAGUUCUUUCUUGUCUUGUCUGUUUCUACUGUUACUUCUUUCUCAUAAUGACAUGGAAGAAGUCGUGAGAUUUAAUUUCCAUGCUAUCAUUGCAUUUUCUAACAAGUUCUGUGCAUUCUUCUAGGGUAUGAAUGAUCAAACUACACGUGCUUUAAGGAUGAAGGCUUGAAAGCUAAUUUUACAAUAAUAAAGAAAAAUUUAAAACUACACCAAAUGUUUUAGAUUUUAUUGGGUUCUUUUUUUUAUUUUAUUAUUUAGCUAUAGAUUAUAAGGUCGUUGAUUAGAUCGCGACUUGCAGCUGAAAAAUAUGAGUAUGAAUUUGACUUGCUUUAGAAACUAGGAUAAUGUCUCUCUAAACGUUUUUGACUCUUCAUUUUAUGUAGUUUGAGGUGAUUAGAAGAUACGAUAGUAUAAUUUUGAAUCAUUGGAAAGGUUGCUUGAGUGGUGAAUUCGAUAUAAGCGAGAUUUUAAGUUUUGUUACGAUUAGUACAAAUGGUGUUACAUAACACCUUUGGUUAGUAAUAGUAUUAGUAGCAGUAUUAAUUCAUUCUUUGUUCAUUUUUUGUAUUGGGCCUCGAGGCCCACUUUGUAUUUAUUCAGUAGAAUAGUAGUUUAGAGUGUGGGCCACAUGGGUCGUAUAUAUAGAGAAGCCCACAUGUGUUGUAGACGAAAUUUUCAUUUUCAUUUUCAUUCUUGCCAGUAAUGAGAAAAGCCUUAAUAUCCCUCUCUAAACCCUUCUAGCCCUAACCGUGGAAUUUUCAAUUUCUAUUUCGAAUCUUAAUUUUAACAUGGUAUUAGAGCUAAGAUCCAGUUAGAGCUCGUGAUUUCCACUUGUCCGAUCUUACCAUCGAGGUUUUUCGUUGGAGUUUUCGUUCUCGAUUCUCUUCGCUGUGGUUGACUAAUUUUGACGGAAUUUUCCAGAUUUUUCGUCAAAUUUUGCAUUUUGCUGCUGAUUCUUCUCACAUUUUACUUUAUCUUAUCGAAAGCACUGGGUUUCUUCACCUAAUUUUGGUUCUCAUCAAAUUCAAGCCAAAGCUAGGAUUUGUUGGUCGUGAUUUCAUCAACGGCUUAUCAUGUUUUAUUUAAUAAACAAGGCUGUUGUUCCUUUCAUUUCGCGAGGAAAAUUGGUAACUUUCCUUACCUGUAGAUUGCAUGAAUAGUAUCUAUUGAUAUUCCUUUCCUCAUAUUUUGAGAAAAUGCCAGACGAAAAUUCACCUACCCAUAUCCUGUCUACUUCUAAACCUGCAUCUUCUCGUUCUGCUUUCCAUGAGGAUGACUAUACACAUCCUUGUCAUCCUCUGUAUGUCCAUCCUUCUGAUGUACUAGGAACUUCUUUAGUUUCGGUGCCAUUUGAUUGCACUGGUUAUGGGAGUUGGAGACGCACUAUUUUCAUGGCCCUCUCUGUCAGAAACAAACUUGACUUUGUCAAUAGAGUCUCUGUUAAACCCUCUGAUACUUCUCCCCUAGCGAUAUAGUGGCAGAGAUGCAAUGAUCUAGUGGUUUCGUGGUUAAUCAACUCCUUGUCUAAGGACAUAGCUCGUAGUGUUGAGUAUUCUGAGCUUGCCAAGGACAUUUGGGGGGAGUUGGAAGAGAGAUAUGGUCAGGCUGAUGCUGCCUGAAUUUUUGAACUCAAAAAAGGGUUAGCCCAUAUCUCACAAGGGUCUCUUGACAUUGCAUCCUACUUCAAUAAAAUCAAGCAACUCUGGGAUGAGAUUGCUGCCUUAUGAGUCACCAGAGUCGGGACCUGUUGUAAUUGUGGUGCUAAGUCUGAUUAUCAGAAGGAUGAAGAUGUCCAAAAAGUCUACCAAUUUCUGAUUGGUUUAAAUGAUUCAUACAUACAGACAAGCAGCAACAUUUUCAUGAUUAAAUCCUUUCCCUCUGUUAGCACUCUUUACAGCAUCUUACUCUCAGAUGAAAAACAGAGACAAGUUUCCACUUCUCCUCAAUUUCUUCCUAGCUCUACUUCAUUUAAUGCUGGUGUAUCCAAGCAAGUCUACCCUUCGGCGUCAAUUUUAAUUCCUCCAAACCUCCAACCUGUAAGUAUUGUAAGAAACCAGGUCAUACCAUUGACAAAUGCUAUAAGUUGCAUGGGUAUCCUCCCAACUUCAAGUUUACUAAGGGGACUGCCUCAAGAAAAACUAUUUCUCAUGUUGAGUUGGAGCAUGGUUCCUCUUCCACUGCUGUUGUUCCUGGUGGGAGGUCUCAAUUUGAUACUUCUUCUGAGGUUGUCUCUGACUCAGUGGUGCCUGGUCUCACUAAGGAUCAAUAUUCACGAUGAUGAUGCUGCUUCAACAUACUCACAUCCCUGAUUUAUCCUGAACUCCAAAUCUCAUGGCUUCUGCCAAUUUUGCUGUUUUGCUCAAAUCUUGUAUGCUUUCUCAAGUAGAUAGUUUUAUUUGGAUCAUAGAUUCUGUAGCUUCUGACCAUAUGACCUCCCAUAAAGAUUUGCUUUUCAACUUACAGCCCUUACCAAUUCCUUGUCUUUUAUACUUACCUAAUGGUUAUAAGGUCAAAGUUUACCUUGUAGGAUCUUUGACUUUUUUCGUAACUUCACAAUUCAUCAUAUCCUCUAUGUUCCUUCUUUUCAAUACAAUUUAAUUUCCGUACAUAAGUUGUUAGAUCAAUUCAAUGGGAUUAUCCUGUUUACUAGAACUCUCUGUUCUAUACAAGCCCCUUCACUUAAGAUACCUCUGGUUCUUGGUAAACUAGAUCAUAAUCUUUACAAGCUCAUUCUGCCUCCUGUUGCUUCUGGUACAUCUACUACUUCUCUGUCAUUCCCACUUCUUCUAUUUCUUCUCCUGUUAUGCAUGAUGUAUGUGUUUUUUCUUCUGAUAUUAGUGCAAAUGUAACUAGUGCUGGUUCUGAUAAGAGACAUGUAUAUGCUGAUGCAAAUUUGAACAGUUCUAAUAAAAUGGAUGUUGUUUGGCACUAUAUACUUGGACAUAUUCUAUUUUCUAGAAUGAAACAUAUUCCUGCACUUGCGUUACAUUUUUUUCCCAAACAGUCAUUUUCUUGCCCAGUUUGUCCCUUAGCAAGGCAAACCAUACUGCCAUUCCCUGAUAGUAACAUACAAACUACAAAGCCUUUUCAGUUAAUAUACAUUGAUACUUGGGGUCCUUAUCAUUAUAUUCCCCCACUUAUAAUGGGUCAAAGUAUUUUUUAACCAUUGUAGAUGAUUUCUCCACAUCCACUUGGACCCACUUAUUGGGUGCCAAAAGUAAUACAUUUGACCUCUUAAAAGCCUUCAUAGCCAUGAUUGAAAUACACUUCCAGUUAAAGGUUCAAACUGUUAGGAGUGAUAAUGCUCUAGAAUUGGGAUCAAGCACUAUUAGUUCUAUAUGCUUCUCUGAGAAAGGGAUCAUACAUCAAACAUCAUGUCCUCACACCCCACAGCAGAAUGGGGUUGUAGAAAAAAAGCACAGGCAUCUCUUAGAAACUGCUAGGGUCCUUCUCUUUAGUUUGGACUCCCCAUUAGAUUCUGGAGAGACUGCAUUCUCACUGCCACCUAUUUGAUAAAUAGGUUCCCUUCCAGUUUGUUAAAAGACAAAAGUCCCUAUGAAAUCCUCUACAACAAACUUCCUGUUUACUCCAAUCUUAGAGCCUUUAGGUGUCUAUGCUACUCUACUAUCCCAAAACCUCAUAGAGACAAACUUCAACCAAGGGCUACCCCUUGUGUCUUCUUAGGAUAUCCCUUUGCUAAUAAAGGAUACAAAUUGAUGAUUUGAAACACAAAACUUAUCUUGUUUCCAAAGAUGUUAUCUUUCAUGAACAUAUAUUCCCUUUUAUUCAAACAACAUCAAAACACUAUCCCACGUGUAAUAUAACUUUUUCUACUUGUUUUAGCGAUUCUCCUCAGUCUUAUUAUUCUGAGCCUACUUCAUCAUACCAUGCUUCUCCUGAUUCAUCUCCAUCUAUUACUGAUUCCUCUCCAAAUGUUUUCCCAGUGCUGACUUGCCUUCUCCUUUUCCUUCAUUUCCGUCUGAGUCCACUUCUUCCCCUGUUUCAAGUGAAGCAAUUCCUGUGAUUAAAAGGUCUUCCAGACCUCAUAACCCUCCUUCCUAUCUCCAAAACUAUGUCUCACUUUCCUUCACAAGGACCUAAAUUUGCUAACUACACUUUGUUUCUACUUUUGAUGAGCAUAAUAUUUUUGAGCCUAACACUUACUCACAACCAACAUCCAGUCUUGAGCGGCAGGAUGCCAUGAAAAGGAUUUUGAGGCCUUAGAAGCCAAUGGCACUUAGGACAUUGUUCAUCUACCCUUAGGUAUUGGUUGUAAAUGGGUGUAUAAGGGUAAAUACAAAGCUGAUAAGACCAUAGAAAGAUACAAGGCUAGGCUUGUGGUUAGGGGGAAUACUCAGGUUAAAGGGAUAUAUUUUCAUGAAACUUUUUCACGUAUUGUAAAGAUGUCUACUGUUAAAACUUUAAUUGUUGUGGCAGUUAAAAAUAAAUUAUCAUUAUUUCAAUUAGAUAUCAACAAUGCCUUUCUACAUGGUUAUUUGGAUGAGGAGGUCUUCAUGAAACUUCCACCUGGGAUGUCUGUUUCUUCCUCUUCUUCUUCUUUAUCUACUUCAGCUCUUCUAGUUUGUAAGCUCAAAAAAUUCUUAUAUGGGCUAAGGCAAGCUUUUAGACAAUGGCAUGCCAAGUUGUCAAAUGCUUUGUAUUCUAGGGGUUAUGUGCAAUCCUUGAAUGAUUAUUCUCUGUUUACUUGGGGUUCUAGAGAGUCUUUUGUCAUUUUGGUGGUGUAUGUGGAUGAUAUAAUCAUCACUAGGACUGAUGUAGCUGAAGUAUCUGCUGUGAAAGCUUUCCUCCAUGAUCAAUUUAAAAUUAAAGAUUUAGGCAACCUCAAUUACUUCUUGGGGAUUGAGGUGCUGCAUAUUGAGUAUGGGGUUUUACUUCAUCAAAAGAAGUUCGUUCAUGAUAUUCUCAAGGAGUUCCAUUCUUUUAAUUGCUCAUCUGUGGUGUACCCUCUUGAGAUGCAUGAAAAACCAAAGGCCCAUUGAAGGUGAUGUGUUGCCUAACCCUGAGAUUUACAGAUGUUUGAUUGGAAAGCUGAAUUUUCUCACUCACACCAGGCCUGACAUCUCCUUUGCAGUGCAACACUAAAGUCAGUUCAUGCAGUAGGCCUGCAUUCCUCACAUGCAAGCAGCUCUGCACCUGCUUAGAUAUCUUAAAGGUAACCUCUGAUUUUGGUAUAUUUCUGAAUGAUUAUCCUGAUUUUCUUUGAGUGUUUACUAUGACCGUGAUUGGGGGGCCUGUCCAAAUAGCAGGAAGUCAAAUGAUUCAGUUGUCUUAUACCUCUAGUGCCACUAAAUUUGCUGAUAUGUUUACUAAGCCCUUGACAGGGGCUGUUCAUCAUGUCCAUCUUCACAAGUUGGGGGUUCUCUCACCCUCCAACUUGCUGGGGGUAUUGAGAUUAGUGCAAAUGGUGUUACAUAAUAUCUUUGGUUAGUAGUAGUAUCUUAGUAGUAGUAUUAGUAGCAGUAUUAAGUCAUUCUUUGUUCAUUCUUUGUAUUGGCCUCGAAGCCCACUUUGUAUUUAUUAAGCAAAGUAGUAGUUUAGAGUUUGGGCCAGACGGGUCGUAUAUAUAGAGAAGCCCAUAUGUGUUGUAGACGGGAUUUUCAUUUUAUUUUUAUUCUUGCCAGUAAUAAGAAAAGCCCCAAUUUCUCUCUCUAAACCCUUCUAGCCCUUGCCAUGGAAUCUUCAAUUUCUAUUUCGAAUCUUAGUUUUAACAAGUUUUGAUACUUACUUUUUAAAGCUUGCUUUUAAAUUUUAUUUUUCUACCUUUUUUUGUAUUGGGACCACACUAUGUUUGAUAGAAUCGAUAGUUAUUAAUUUGC